GGGGGACAAUUUUGAGCUGCCCAAAGAGCCCCCCCCAUAUUUAUGAUCCUAAAAGUGUUCCCCCCACAUUUUGGGGGUUCUGGGGGGUUCCCCAACAUUUAGGAUUCCCAAAUGGGUGUCAUGGCCGCCCUGGAGGUGUCAUGGCUGCCAUUGGCGGUAUCAUGGGCACCCUGGAGGUAACAUGGCCACCCCUUGAGGUAUCAUGGCCGCCAUUGGCGGUAUCUUGGCUGCCCUGGGAAGUGUCAUGGCCACCAUUGGCAGUGUCAUGGCCACCCUGGAGGUAUCAUGGCCACCCCUGGAGGUGCAAUGGCCGCUAUUGGAGGUAUCAUGGCUGCCAUUGGCGGUAUCAUGGCCUCCCUGGAGGUGUCAUGGCCGCCAAGUAGGUGUCAUGGCCACCAUUGGCGGUAUCAUGGCCGCCCUGGAGGUAUCAUGGCCCCAACAUUUGGGAUUCCCAAAGACCCCCCCCCCCCUUUUGCUCUGCCAUUCCCACCCCCC